rnacentral:misc_RNA from 1 species
CACCCCUCAAGCUUGGCUUGGUAUUGGGCUCCGCCGUUCGUUCGGCGGGCCUUAAAAUCAGUGGCGGUGCCCCCGUGGCCCUGAGCGUAGUAAAUCUCCUCGCUUCUGGACCCGGUGGUUGCUGGCCAGCAACACCCAACUUUUCAA